rnacentral:rRNA from 1 species
UUUCCCUCAGGAUAGCUGGCACUCGCUCGAACGAGUCUCAUCUGGUAAAGCGAAUGAUUAGAGGCCUUGGGGCCGAAACGACCUCAACCUAUUCUCAAACUUUAAAUGGGUGAGAUCUCUGGCUUGCUUGAACGUUGAAGCCACGAGAUAACAUUUUUAAAAUGGAUCAGAGUGCCAAGUGGGCCAAUUUUGGUAAGCAGAACUGGCGCUGUGGGA